GACGGAGGGGGCUAGCGUUGUUCGGAAUCAUUGGGCGUAAAGGGCGCGUAGGUGGCUUCUUAAGCGUGCGGUGAAAGCUCGGGGCUCAACUCCGAGUCGGCCGUGCGAACUGGGCUCACUGGAGCAUAGUAGAGGCAGGUGGAAUUCCGGGUGUAGCGGUGGAAUGCGUAGAGAUCCGGAAGAACACCGGUGGCGAAGGCGGCCUGCUGGGCUAUGGCUGACACUGAGGCGCGACAGCGUGGGGAGCAAACAGG
rnacentral:rRNA from 1 species